rnacentral:lncRNA from 1 species
AACAAUGUGGGCAUAUUAUAUAUAUAUUUUUAGAAUGAACUUAAAAAAUAAUAAACUCUAACUCCACUUUUGGCACUAAUUUCUUGAUUGCUAACAUGAUGCAUUUCUGCAAGAAGAGCUCAUUUCACAAUCUUUGAGGACAUUAUGUGUCUAAGACAAACCUGCAGGUGCUGUUGAGAACAGCAGAGCCAGCUGGAGGCUCUGGGAGGAAUUCCAUCUGGAAGAAAACAUGGUGUGUCCAGAGGGCAGAGUGGUGUGGUGGAGUCGGUGCUGGAGAUGAUGUGUGUACAAGAGCAGGACUCUGGACGGAGGCAGGGAUCUGGGCCAGCACAACAUGGAGAGGCUGAAGCUUCCUGGAGUGACCAGCAGGCAGGAGUAAGGGCCAGGUCCCUGAAAUCUAUGGAAGGAGAUUUUACUGGUGUGUCCACCUCCUCCUGGCCAGGCCACAGCUUUCUCAGCAGGGAGAGGAAGACAACGAAUCAGAAUGGGAAGGGAGUUUGCAUUUCUCGAGGACCUCAGGGACACAUCCUCAGGGACACAUGCACAGACUAGUGCUGCUUCUCAAGUUGCUCUGGUUACCGCAAUGGGGUAUCGAUCAGGGACGGCGUGGAGCCGAGGGUUUCAGCCGAGCCUCCGGGAGGCCAGGCUUUGGUCUGAACUGGAAGAGCACAAAGGCCAGCGGUGUCCUGUGGUGCGCGGAGCGCGCGAGGGCCAAGGAAAACACCUGAUACUUCCAGGUAUUUGGGAGCCGGCUGCAGGACAAACAGCAAAACUGCAGACCCUCACCGCCCCCACCCCGCCGGCCUCCUGGGGACUUACUGCGGGGGAGUAA